rfam:Triticum aestivum genome assembly, contig: Triticum_aestivum_CS42_TGACv1_scaffold_543139_6DS
CAUGUACUCCCUCCGUCCGAAAAUACUUGUCAUCAAAAUGGAUAAAAGGAGAUCUAGAUGUAUUUUAGUUCUAAAUACAUCUCUUUUUAUCUAUUUUGAUGACAAAUAUUUUCGGACGGAGGGAGUAUAUA